CAGUGGAUGAAAAGGAUGACAGCAAAGACUGGUAGUUACUAAGAUCAUUUCCAUCUCUGGAUUUACGCCAUUUUCUCUCAGCAGCUCUAAGUUCCUUUCGUACUGAGACUAUACUGUUUGUCAGCCAUGGAUGGCGAGGAGGAUUACUUAGCCCUUUGUGUUUAGCAUGCUUAC